rnacentral:snRNA from 1 species
GGAUGUGAGGGCGAUCUGGCUGCAACGUCUGUCACCCUAUUGAUCGCCAGGGUUGAUUCGGCUGAUCCGCUGGCUAGGAGGGUGUCCCCUUCCUCCCUCAAUGCUGCAUGCGCGUCCCUCCUGAAGCUGCAUGCUGGGUCAAAGAGGAUGACCACCCCGGAUACAGGAGGACCGUUCCUCGGUCAAGGGCAUUGGAGUAGCUGCGUUCCCCUGUUAGAACCUCCAAACAAGCUCUCAAGGAAAAAAACCUAUAUAAUUUCCAUUAUGUAGCUGAUUAAACUGAGUUGGAGAUCAAGUCACUUGUCAAAGAUUCCAGUUGAAGUAACUUUUU